UACAGAGGUCCCAAGCGUGGUUCGGAUUCACUGGGCGUAAAGGGUGCGUAGGUGGUGGGGUAAGUCGGAUGUGAAAGCUCGGAGCUCAACUCCGAAAUGGCAUUGGAAACUACCCUGCUAGAGGAUUGGAGGGGGGACUGGAAUACUUGGUGUAGCAGUGAAAUGCGUAGAUAUCAAGUGGAACACCAGUGGCGAAGGCGAGUCCCUGGACAAUACCUGACACUGAGGCACGAAAGCUAGGGGAGCAAACAGG
rnacentral:rRNA from 1 species